rnacentral:rRNA from 1 species
GAUGAACGCUGGCGGCGUGCCUAACACAUGCAAGUCGAACGGAGUCCAGCCUUAGAGACCUUCGGGUCAAAGAGGGGAAGACUGAGUGGCGGACGGGUGAGUAACACGUGGGCAACCUGGCUCAUAGAGGGGGAUAACAGAGAGAAAUUUCUGCUAAUACCGCAUAAGCACACACUGCCGCAUGGCAGAGUGUGAAAAGAGAAUCGCUAUGAGAUGGACCCGCGUCUGAUUAGCCAGUUGGCAGGGUAAGAGCCUACCAAAGCGACGAUCAGUAGCCGAUUUGAGAGGAUGAGCGGCCACAUUGGGACUGAGACACGGCCCAGACUCCUACGGGAGGCAGCAGUGGGGGAUAUUGCACAAUGGGGGGAACCCUGAUGCAGCGACGCCGCGUGAGUGAAGAAGUAUUUCGGUAUGUAAAGCUCUAUCAGCAGGGAAGAUAAUGACAGUACCUGAAUAAGAAGCCCCGGCUAACUACGUG